rnacentral:rRNA from 1 species
AUGCUUACUGUCGAUGAGUUUGAAACUGCCUGGGGGGUGCUGACUGAGAGACACGGACUGCAAAAACACCCUUACCUCACACAGAUCUACAAAGUGAGGACGAAGUGGGCGAAACCAUACUUCAAGGGUAAACUUUGUGCAAAAAUGACAAGCACAGAACACAGCGAGAGUGGCAACCAUAUGCUCAAGGGAUAUGUCCCGGCAAGCUGCCCCAUGCAUUUUUUUGUACGGCAAUACAUGAGGCUUGUUUUCGACCGGGAAGCAAGCGAGAACUAUGAAGAACGGCGUACACAGAUAGUAAGUUUAUUUAUGUAUGCAUAA